UAGAGUUUGAUCAUGGCUCAGGACGAACGCUGGCGGCGUGCUUAACACAUGCAAGUGGAGCGACGAACCGGGGCUUGCCCCGGGGCAGAGCCGCGAACGGGUGAGUAACACGUGGGUUACCUACCCCAAUGACCGGGACAACCCGAGGAAACUCGGGCUAAUACCGGAUGUGGUCUUCGGACGAAAGGAAGCUUCGGCCUCCGCAUUGGGAUGGGCCCGCGGCGCAUUAGCUUGUUGGUGGGGUAACGGCCUACCAAGGCGACGACGGGUAGCCGGCCUGAGAGGGCGACCGGCCACACUGGGACUGAGACACGGCCCAGACUCCUACGGGAGGCAGCAGUGGGGAAUUUUGGACAAUGGGCGCAAGCCUGAUCCAGCCAUGCCGCGUGCGGGAAGAAGGCCUUCGGGUUGUAAACCGCUUUUGUCAGGGAAGAAACGGUCUGAUCUAAUACAUCGGACUAAUGACGGUACCUGAAGAAUAAGCACCGGCUAACUACGUGCCAGCAGCCGCGGUACGCC
rnacentral:rRNA from 1 species